GGGGGAGAGAGAGAGAGGGGGGGAGAGAGGGGGUGGAGUUAUUAAAGGUGGUAAACAGCUGUCGGACUGGAGAAAUGUAACCGCUCUCAACUCUCAAAAAUAGAUGAGACCAAAAUAAUAGCUUUAGCCAUGUUUUUUGGCUAUACAGUGUUUGUUUACAAUGGCAUUGUUUACAAACAUUGAAGUAAAUGAAACAAGUUAAUAUUUCAGGUUCUGAUGAGGUAUGGCUCAUGAGGCAUUUAUAUGUUAUAUUCUUCAAGAAUCAAUGGGCACAUAUCAUUAAUUUAAAAGUAAAAAACGCUUGUAGCAAUCUCAGGACCCAAUCCAGUCACAGCACAAACAGGAUGCUCUUCAACACAGUGUAGAGGUAUACUUCCUGUAGCAUUGGCUAGUGGAACUGUACAGUGUAGAGGUGUACUUACUGUAGCAUUGGCUAGUGGAACUGUACAGUGUAGAGGUAUACUUACUGUAGAAUUGGCUAGUGGAACUGUACAGUGUAGAGGUAUACUUACUGUAGAAUUGGCUAGUGGAACUGUACAGUGUAGAGGUGUACUUACUGUAGCAUUGGCUAGUGGAACUGUACAGUGUAGAGGUAUACUUACUGUAGCAUUGUCUAGUGGAACUGUACAGUGUAGAGGUGUACUUACUGUAGCAUUGUCUAGUGGAACUGUACAGUGUAGAGGUGUACUUACUGUAGCAUUGGCUAGUGGAACUGUACAGUGUAGAGGUGUACUUCCUGUAGCAUUGGCUAGUGGAACUGUACAGUGUAGAGGUGUACUUCCUGUAGCAUUGGCUAGUGGAACUGUACAGUGUAGAGGUAUACUUACUGUAGCAUUGGCUAGUGGAACUGUACAGUGUAGAGGUAUACUUACUGUAGCAUUGGCUAGUGGAACUGUACAGUGUAGAGGUAUACUUACUGUAGCAUUGGCUAGUGGAACUGUACAGUGUAGAGGUAUACUUACUGUAGCAUUGGCUAGUGGAACUGUACAGUGUAGAGGUAUACUUACUGUAGCAUUGGCUAGUGGAACUGUACAGUGGCACCUCAAGAAGCGAUGAACAGGAGGAAGGGUCUAGCAGGAGGAAGGGUCUAGCAGGAGGAAGGGUCUAGGAGGAGGAAGGGUCUAGCAGGAGGAAGGGUCUAGCAGGAGGAAGGGUCUAGCAGGAGGAAGGGUAUAGGAGGAGGAAGGGUCUAGCAGGAGGAAGGGUCUAGCAGGAGGAAGGGUAUAGGAGGAGGAAGGGUCUAGCAGGAGGAAGGGUCUAGCAGGAGGAAGGGUCUAGGCAGGAGGAAGGGUCUAGUGAAAUGAAUAAAGUUGUACAUGCGUUCUGGGUACUAUUGUUACAUGUUAUUUCAUUGAUGAAUCCCCAUCGUAGUAGUUGAUUGUUUUGUGUUUUGU